GCGUGCGGGAUGACGGCCUUCGGGUUGUAAACCGCUUCCAGCAGGGAUGAAAUUGACAGUACCUGCAGAAGAAGCCCCGGCUAACUACGUGCCAGCAGCCGCGGUAAUACGUAGGGGGCAAGCGUUAUCCGGAUUCAUUGGGCGUAAAGCGCGUGUAGGCGGCUUGUUAAGUCAGAUGUGAAAACCGGGGGCUCAACCCGCGGCCUGCAUCUGAAACUGGCAGGCUUGAGUCUGGUAGAGGAAAGUGGAAUUCCUAGUGUAGCGGUGAAAUGCGCAGAUAUUAGGAGGAACACCAGUGGCGAAGGCGGCUUUCUGGGCCACGACUGACGCUGAGACGCGAAAGCUAGGGGAGCAAACAGGAUUAGAUACCCUGGUAGUCCUAGCUGUAAACGAUGGGCACUAGGUGUGGGGGGUCAUCGACUCCCUCCGUGCCGUAGCUAACGCAUUAAGUGCCCCGCCUGGGGAGUAC
rnacentral:rRNA from 1 species